GGAAUUGACGGGGAGCACCACAACGGGUGGAGCUUGCGGUUUAAUUGGAUUCAACGCCGGAAAUCUUACCGGGACCGACAGCAAUAUGAAGGCCAGGCUGAAGACUUUGCCGGAUUAGCUGAGAGGUGGUGCAUGGCCGUCGUCAGUUCGUACUGUGAAGCAUCCUGUUAAGUCAGGCAACGAGCGAGACCCACGCCCACAGUUGCCAGCGUACUCUCCGGAGUGACGGGUACACUGUGGGACCGCCGCUGCUAAAGCGGAGGAAGGAAUGGGCAACGGUAGGUCAGUAUGCCCCGAAUAUCCCGGGCUACACGCGAGCUACAAUGGUUGGUACAAUGGGUAUCUACCCCGAAAGGGGACGGGAAUCUCCUAAAACCAAUCUUAGUUCGGAUUGAGGGCUGCAACUCGCCCUCAUGAAGCUGGAAUCCGUAGUAAUCGCGUUUCAACAGAACGCGGUGAAUACGUCCCUGCUCCUU
rnacentral:rRNA from 1 species